rnacentral:rRNA from 1 species
GAUGAACGCUGGCGGCGUGCCUAAUACAUGCAAGUCGAGCGAACAGACCAGGAGCUUGCGCCUAUGACGUUAUCGGCGGACGGGUGAGUAACACGUGGAUAAACUACCUAUAAGACUGGGAUAACAACGGGAAACCGGGGCUAAUACCCAAUAAUAUAUUGAACCGCAUGGUUCAAGAGUUGAAUAAGGUAGUUGUGUCACUAAAAGAUGGAUCCGCGCCGCAUUAGCUAGUUGGUAAGGUGACGGCUUACCAAGGCUACGAUGCGUAGACGACCUGAGAGGGUGAUCGGCUAGACUGGAUGUGAGACAGGGCCCCGACUCUGACGGUAGGCAGCAGUAGGGAAUCUUCCGCAAUGGGCGAAAGCCUGACGGAGCAACGCCGCGUGAGUGAUGAUGGUCUUCUGCUCGUAAAACUCUGUAGUUAGUGGAGAACAAAUGUGUAAUUACCUAUGAUCGUCUUGACGGUACCUAAUCAGAAAGCCACGGCUAACUACGUG